GAAGAAAAAGAAGAAGAAGCAAAAUCAUAAAUUAACCGGUUACACACACACAUGUAUGUGUAUGUUGUUCAAACUAUAACAACAAAUAAAAUUAUUUUUUUAUAAAAACAACGCCUUAAUAGUUUUUCCUAAAUUUUAUGUUUUUUUUCGCUUGUUCGUUAGUUUGUUUUGAUUUUAGUAAUAAUAUUUAACUUAUAUUUUUGUUUAAUAUUUUAUAAAAUUUAUAAAAAAAACAAAGUAAAAGAACGAAAAAAACGUAAACGAAAACGUGAGCAAAGAGAAAUAACACCGACAGGGUGACAAUGAAACUAUUAAAUCAUCAAGGACAAAGUAGUUAAAAUAGUUAAAAAUAAAAGUAGUUACAGUAGUUAUAGUAGUUAAACAAAAAAGUACCUAAAUAAAAAAUGAAAUCAACAUUACAAAAAUUGAAAAUGCCCCCUCCUAAACUGAAAUCGCUGCCACCGAAAACGAAAUCACAAAUAAAUAAACCUAGUGCAGAGCCAGAAAAAUCUAACGGACUAUCAACAAAACCUAAUGCAUUACCAACUAAACCUAAUGCAUUACCACCCAAAUUUAAUGUAUUACCAACUAAACCUAAUGCAUUACCAACUAAACCUAAUGCAUUACCACCCAAACUUAAUACAUUACCACCCAAACUUAAUACAUUACCACCCAAACUUAAUGUAUUACCACCCAAACCUAAUGUACUACCAGCCAAACAAAAUGAAACAGAAACAAAACUACCACAACCAGUGACAAUGCAAAAAAUGAAUCUCCCAAAGACUAACAUUAAAACGAUGCCACCGAAAUCUAAACCCAUAACAGCAACACAAGAAAAAAUACCAAAUGGAAAAGUGCCAGAAUCAAAAGUUAAUUUAAAAAAUACACUCAUAGAAGAUAUAUCGAAUUUUAAUAAAAAAGCAUCACUUAAUUUAGUUAAAAAUGGAGUAGAUAAUGUAAUGAAAACAGUUCCUACAGGAAAAAAUACAUUUUUAGAAAAAAUAAUUUCGCCUAUUUUAAAAAAUGAAUAUGUCAUACCUAAAUCUAGUAACACUACAGUUAAAAAAUCAGCACCUACAUUUUUAGAAAUUGGAACAAUGUUAAAUAGUUUAACAUCAACUAGUUCUAAAGAGUUGAAUGAUUUUUCUAUGAAAAAAAAAAUGUUAUUAACAGAAAAUGCAAAAUCAAUUAAUAAUGAAAAUAUAACAAAUGAUUCAAGUAAUGUGAUAAAAAAACACUCAAAUAUUGAUUUACCUUGCUUAAAUUUGAAUGAUAAUAAAACUGAAUCUACUACUAAUAAUAAUUUUAUGAAAGAUAAUAAUAAUAAUGUUAUGAUUGCAAUAGGAGGUAGAGAAAACAAUAUAGGACCUUUAUCAACUUAUAAAGAUAGUAACUUAAUUCAAAAUAUGCAUUAUAUAAAUGCAUUUUCCAGAACUAAUGGUAAUUAUAUAGGUAAAGUUACAGGCCCACCCCCUACUUCUCUUACUUCUUUAGAUAAAAUACCACAAAAUAAUAAUGAAAAAAGAUAUUUUAAUAAUAAUAUAAAUAAUAUGUUUCAGAAUCCUAAUUAUAAUGCAUUGGAAUCACCUUUUAAUAAUUAUCCAUAUAUACCUAAUUUACCUUUUUAUAAUGAUUCUUAUAUUAUGGAAAAUACAAAUGAACAAAACACAACACUACCCUUCCCUUGUUACCCUGGGUUAUAUUAUGUACCUGUAUAUGUAUGUGAUCCGACAAUGAACAAUUAUGCAACGGGUGGUUUAUAUGAAACAGGGUAUGGGGUAGAGUGCCAAACUG
ensembl:lncRNA